ACUCCUACGGGAGGCAGCAGUAGGGAAUCUUCGGCAAUGGACGAAAGUCUGACCGAGCAACGCCGCGUGAGUGAAGAAGGUUUUCGGAUCGUAAAACUCUGUUGUUAGAGAAGAACAAGGACGUUAGUAACUGAACGUCCCCUGACGGUAUCUAACCAGAAAGCCACG
rnacentral:rRNA from 1 species